UGGGGAAUUUUGGACAAUGGGCGAAAGCCUGAUCCAGCAAUGCCGCGUGUGUGAAGAAGGCCUUCGGGUUGUAAAGCACUUUUGUCCGGAAAGAAAUCCUUGGCUCUAAUACAGUCGGGGGAUGACGGUACCGGAAGAAUAAGCACCGGCUAACUACGUGCCAGCAGCCGCGGUAAUACGUAGGGUGCAAGCGUUAAUCGGAAUUACUGGGCGUAAAGCGUGCGCAGGCGGUUUGCUAAGACCGAUGUGAAAUCCCCGGGCUCAACCUGGGAACUGCAUUGGUGACUGGCAGGCUAGAGUAUGGCAGAGGGGGGUAGAAUUCCACGUGUAGCAGUGAAAUGCGUAGAGAUGUGGAGGAAUACCGAUGGCGAAGGCAGCCCCCUGGGCCAAUACUGACGCUCAUGCACGAAAGCGUGGGGAGCAAACAGGAUUAGAUACCCUGGUAGUCCACGCCCUAAACGAUGUCAACUAGUUGUUGGGGAUUCAUCUCCUUAGUAACGUAGCUAACGCGUGAAGUUGACCGCCUGGGGAGUACGGUCGCAAGAUUAAAACUCAAAGGAAUUGACGGGGUCAUAGCUGUUUCCU
rnacentral:rRNA from 1 species